rnacentral:misc_RNA from 1 species
GACACCGCAACAGUUUGUCUGGCUCCACCUCAGCUUCACCGGUAAGCUGAAGCUGAAUCACGCGUAUAAACAUUGUAUAUAUAAGACUUCUCCGGUUAUAUACAUAAAUACAAGUUGAUCUUAUUAUAGUGCCAGUAUAUGGAUUGAUGAUUUUUUUUUUAUUCAGUGAAAGUGGCUGCUGGUUAUCGUACAGAAAACAUCAACAAUGUAGUCAGCGUUUCCGUUACCGAGCCCAUUAUAUUAAUGUGGAUGUUGCUCGGACACAAUCCAACCCCCAGAGGACAAAAUUUACAAUACCACACAAAUGAGGAUGCGUAAUGGGGAAGAAGCCCUUUGUGAGGUCACGAGAGCCAGUCAUGGCCGCCUUGAUUAUCUGCACUGCUCUGUCAUCCGGCGUAAGCGCGCUCGUGAAAAAAGACGAUAUAGAAUCGAGUUUAAACGUAAUCCAGGAAGUUUCCGCGCAAAGUCUCGGCUCGUUGUGCGUAACGGAGCAGUUUCGCUCCCUGACGGUGCCCAUUGACACUUUGAGGUUCGAAUCGGCCCGCCAAAAGGCGGAUUUGGCCGCUACGCUGUUGCAAGAUCUCGGCGUCGCUCAUCACAAUGGUCUUCAAGAUGCCAUUUCGAAAAAUAUCCUGGUGUCAGAUCCGGCGGUCUUGGCGGCCCGUGUGUUGGCGAUAAACGCCACCAACGGCCAGUUAAUUAAUUGCGCGUGGUGGCAGAAGCAGGGCCUGGAAAUGGGGGGCCCCAAGAAGGUGCCGGAGACAGUUAUGGAGGCGGGGCGUCGGCCCAGCGCUGACUAUCCAUGGUACGAAGACGCAGACUCAAGUCCCGGUCUUCGCUCGCCAAAAUUCAUCGAGAGCCCCCCCAACGUGUCUUACCGCGGAUGGUGGACUUACCCUUACUACUCCUGCUCCGCCAGGAGAUGGUUGAUGUCCUAUAGCGUCCCUAUACCACCUCCGGGAAGACGAGGAUUAAAAGGGUUUCUGAGCCUGGACGUAGACAUCUCCCAUCUGCAAGUAGACCAGUGCGAAAGUGGCCCUUUGACGCCCACUAACGCACUGUCCAUAUUCCACGGGUCGCAUAAGUGUCAUAAUUUGACAACUGAAUGCAUUUUUAAGUCUGCAGCUCAAGUGCCCUCAUGGUCCAGGGGUCGGUACGAAUGUCGUUGUCGCGACGGGUACUUCUCUACGCACCACGGAGGGGUUUUUAAUGGGACUUUGGUUGAAGUUGCAUGGGAAGAACAUGUUGAAAACUCAAGUGACACAUGGGAAACGAUCUUCCAAUGUCAGGCAUGCGCGCCAGGUUGUCAUUUUUGCACUGACCCAUCGCCAUGUUUGGCAACGUUUCAUUGGCCCUUUAGGAUUACUUUGCUCUCUAUCAGUAUUUUUUGUGUUUUUUGCACUUUGGUGUUGAACUGUUUCAUGUUUAAGCAUCGCAAACUGAAGGUGUUUAAGGUGGCCAGCCCGAUAUUUCUCAGUAUUACCCUUUUGGGAUGCGCUUUUAUGUACCUGGAGAUGGGUGCCAUAUUUCCGGUUUUGGACACCUACUUUUGUAUAGCGACCAAAUGGACCAGACAUUUGGGAUUUUGCGUCACUUAUACCGCACUACUUAUGAAAACAUGGAGGGUUUCCCUUACCUACCGGGUAAAAUCAGCCCACAAAGUAAAACUAACAGACAAACAGCUCCUCCAAUGGAUGGUUCCGAUUUUACUCAUAAUGCUCAUUUACUUGGGCACUUGGACCCUAUCCGACACCCCCACAGCGGAAGAAAUAAUGGACAAUAAGGGACUCAGGUUUAAGCAAUGCGUCUAUAAUUGGUGGGAUCACAGUUUGGCUAUAGGGGAAGUUUUAUUCUUGGCAUGGGGCAUACGGGUGUGUUAUAACGUGAGAAAUGCCGAGUCUUUGUAUAAUGAGGCGAGGCUCAUCAGUUAUGCCAUCUAUAAUAUUGCCAUCGUGAACAUUUUAAUGAUAGCCUUUCAUUUAUUCAUUUUCCCGAGGGCAGGACCAGAUAUAAAGUACUUUUUGGGGUUCGUACGCACUCAGUUGUCUACCACUACGACCAUUGCUCUUGUGUUUGGGCCAAAGAUUAUUAGGGUGUUAAGCGGCCAGGGUGACCAAUGGGACAACAGGGCGCGGUCACGUGGCGUCACAGCCUCGUUUUCCCUAAACGGCAUCGGACUGGUACCGGAAGACACGCCCGAUCUAUUCCAGGAGAACGAGGAACUCAAAGAGGAAAUUCAAAAAUUGGCCGCGCAAAUCGAGUUCAUGAAAAUCGUCCAUAUGGAAAUCAACAAUCGGCACGUAAAACCGAAGGCGGGCGGCUACUUUACCACGUUGAACACCCCGUUGGCGGUGCAGAGCCCCCUGGCGAAACAAUUGGGCGGCAAACCGGGGGAGGAACUGUGACAUAAGGAGGCGGCCCCUGGGGGCGAGGGAGACCCGGGGGCGGUAAGCGCCUCGAGACGGCGCAGCUGCAAAGAAUGGCUCCGGAUGGAGUUCGUACUGAAACAAACUGGGGAGAGUGUCGUGGUGGUUUAGACGGGGUUGUUGCCGGUUUAUUUAUUGUGACAUUCUGGCAACACUGCCGUAAUUGUUUUUUCGUUGUAUUCAAUUAGUUUGUGAAACUCAUCUGUAUGUGUGAUAUUUUAUUGGUGGAGGAAUCACUGGAGACCCUGUAGCGUGGUAAAGAAUGGUCUGUCCGACUUAUUAAGUGUACCAAAGCUCACUUUAGGUAACCAGAAAUCAAACUGUUCUUUUUUUUUUUUUUAAUAAAUGUUGACAAUAAAGGAGGAAAUGUUCAAAAAAACUGAAUUAAACGUGCCCUUCUCGACUUCAAUUUUGCUUCUAGGUACAAAAGAUUGUGACAAACCUGUCAAUUAUAAUAACUAUUUUUUCAUUAGCUUUUCUAAUUUACCCUCUAUAUAUUUAUAUAUGUAUGUAUAAAUGAUGUUUCUUGUAAUAUCUCGGUCCUCAUUCCAAAAUAACUCGCAGGAAAACCAUAAAAUCGAUGUUAAAGUAUACGCAUAGUAGCAGAAUUAUAUAAAUGUGUUAAAUAUAUGUAUAUCUAUGUAAUAUUUUCAAGAUGAAACUCACCGCAAUUGAAUGUACUACAUAUAUUAUAUGGAAAUGUUUGUUCAUA